rnacentral:rRNA from 1 species
UGGGGAAUAUUGCACAAUGGGCGCAAGCCUGAUGCAGCAACGCCGCGUGAACGAUGAAGGUCUUCGGAUCGUAAAGUUCUGUUGCAGGGGAAGAUAAUGACGGUACCCUGUGAGGAAGCUCAGGCUAACUACGUGCCAGCAGCCGCGGUAAUACGUAGGGGGCUAGCGUUAUCCGGAUUUACUGGGCGUAAAGGGUGCGUAGGUGGUCUUUCAAGUCGGUGGUUAAAGGCUACGGCUCAACCGUAGUUAGCCUCCGAAACUGGAAGACUUGAAUGCAGGAGAGGAAAGUGGAAUUCCCAGUGUAGCGGUUAAAUGCGUAGAUAUUGGGAGGAACACCAGUAGCGAAGGCGGCUUUCUGGACUGCAACUGACACUGAGGCACGAAAGCGUGGGUAGCAAACAGG